GUAAUGUCUGGGAAACUGCCUGAUGGAGGGGGAUAACUACUGGAAACGGUGGCUAAUACCGCAUAACGUCGCAAGACCAAAGAGGGGGACCUUCGGGCCUCUUGCCAUCAGAUGUGCCCAGAUGGGAUUAGCUUGUUGGUGAGGUAACGGCUCACCAAGGCGACGAUCCCUAGCUGGUCUGAGAGGAUGACCAGCCACACUGGAACUGAGACACGGUCCAGACUCCUACGGGAGGCAGCAGUGGGGAAUAUUGCACAAUGGGCGCAAGCCUGAUGCAGCCAUGCCGCGUGUAUGAAGAAGGCCUUCGGGUUGUAAAGUACUUUCAGCGGGGAGGAAGGUGUUGUGGUUAAUAACCGCAGCAAUUGACGUUACCCGCAGAAGAAGCACCGGCUAACUCCGUGCCAGCAGCCGCGGUAAUACGGAGGGUGCAAGCGUUAAUCGGAAUUACUGGGCGUAAAGCGCACGCAGGCGGUCUGUCAAGUCGGAUGUGAAAUCCCCGGGCUCAACCUGGGAACUGCAUUCGAAACUGGCAGGCUUGAGUCUUGUAGAGGGGGGUAGAAUUCCAGGUGUAGCGGUGAAAUGCGUAGAGAUCUGGAGGAAUACCGGUGGCGAAGGCGGCCCCCUGGACAAAGACUGACGCUCAGGUGCGAAAGCGUGGGGAGCAAACAGGAUUAGAUACCCUGGUAGUCCACGCCGUAAACGAUGUCUACUUGGAGGUUGUGCCCUUGAGGCGUGGCUUCCGGAGCUAACGCGUUAAGUAGACCGCCUGGGGAGUACGGCCGCAAGGUUAAAACUCAAAUGAAUUGACGGGGGCCCGCACAAGCGGUGGAGCAUGUGGUUUAAUUCGAUGCAACGCGAAGAACCUUACCUGGUCUUGACAUCCACAGAACUUUCCAGAGAUGGAUUGGUGCCUUCGGGAACUGUGAGACAGGUGCUGCAUGGCUGUCGUCAGCUCGUGUUGUGAAAUGUUGGGUUAAGUCCCGCAACGAGCGCAACCCUUAUCCUUUGUUGCCAGCGGUCCGGCCGGGAACUCAAAGGAGACUGCCAGUGAUAAACUGGAGGAAGGUGGGGAUGACGUCAAGUCAUCAUGGCCCUUACGACCAGGGCUACACACGUGCUACAAUGGCGCAUACAAAGAGAAGCGACCUCGCGAGAGCAAGCGGACCUCAUAAAGUGCGUCGUAGUCCGGAUUGGAGUCUGCAACUCGACUCCAUGAAGUCGGAAUCGCUAGUAAUCGUGGAUCAGAAUGCCACGGUGAAUACGUUCCCGGGCCUUGUACACACCGCCCGUCACACCAUGGGAGUGGGUUGCAAAAGAAGUAGGUAGCUUAACCUUCGGGAGGGCGCUUACCACUUUGUGAUUCAUGACUGGGGUGAAGUCGUAACAAGGUAACCGUAGGGGAACCUGCGGUUGGAUCACCUCCUUA
rnacentral:rRNA from 1 species